UAAUUUAUAUUUUAAUUAAGAUUAUUAGAAAUUUAUUUUUUAGUUAUGAUUGGGGUGAUUUUUAAAGAUUAUUAAUCUUUAAAAUUUUUUAAUAAAAAAGUUCCAUUAGUAGUGAUUUUUUGAUAAAAAUACUCUAGGGAUAACAGCGUUAUUAUUUUGGAUAGUUCAUAUAGAUAAAAUAGUUUGCGACCUCGAUGUUGGAUUAGGAUUCUUUUAUGAUUAAGAAGUUAUAAGGGAGAAGUUUGCUCAACUUUUAAAGUCCUACUUGAUCUGAGUUCAGCCCGGG
rnacentral:rRNA from 1 species